CACUACAACGGGUGGAGCCUGCGGUUUAAUUGGAUUCAACGCCGGAAAUCUCACCGGGGCGACAGCAAUAUGAAGGUCAGGCUGAAGACCUUACCCGAUUAGCUGAGAGGUGGUGCAUGGCCGUCGUCAGUUCGUACUGUGAAGCAUCCUGUUAAGUCAGGCAACGAGCGAGACCCACGUCCACAGUUGCCAGCAUACCCUCCGGGGUGAUGGGUACACUGUGGAGACCGCCGCUGCUAAAGCGGAGGAAGGAGUGGGCAACGGUAGGUCAGUAUGCCCCGAAUCUCCCGGGCUACACGCGGGCUACAAUGGUUGGUACAAUGGGCAUCUACCCCGAAAGGGGAAGGAAAUCUCUUAAAGCCAAUCGUAGUUCGGAUUGAGGGCUGCAACUCGCCCUCAUGAAGCUGGAAUCCGUAGUAAUCGCGUUUCAACAGAACGCGGUGAAUACGUCCCUGCUCCUU
rnacentral:rRNA from 1 species